rnacentral:rRNA from 1 species
CCUACGGGCGGCAGCAGUGGGGAAUAUUGGGCAAUGGGCGCAAGCCUGACCCAGCAACGCCGCGUGAAGGAAGAAGGCUUUCGGGUUGUAAACUUCUUUUGACAGGGAAGAGCAGAAGACGGUACCUGUCGAAUAAGCCACGGCUAACUACGUGCCAGCAGCCGCGGUAAUACGGAGGUGGCAAGCGUUGUCCGGAUGUACUGGGUGUAAAGGGCGUGUAGCCGGGCUGACAAGUCAGAUGUGAAAUCCGGGGGCUCAACCCCCGAACUGCAUUUGAAACUGUUGGUCUUGAGUAUCGGAGAGGCAGGCGGAAUUCCUGGUGUAGCGAUGAAAUGCGUAGAUAUUAGGAGGAACACCAGUGGCGAAGGCAGCCUGCUGGACGACAACUGACGGUGAGGCGCGAAAGCGUGGGGAGCAAACAGGAUUAGAUACCCGGGUAGUC